GGGCGGAGCCAGAGGGGUGGCUUGGGGUGGCCCACGCCACCCCUGAGAUUCGAUUGGCCACCCCAGGUGCCACCCCAAAAUCCUACUCUACGAUUGCCCAUUAACGUGGUCAAAGGCGGAACCUUUGUUGACGCACUUUGCUGCCUUUAAAUCAGCGCGGGAGCUUGGACAGUCAGACACCAGAACUCAGAAAUAUUCAGACAAGGGUGCUGGAGACACUUCAGAUCCUUAUAAGGGUCCAUCAUCAUCAUCUUGUCUCACUGGUUGUCCACGUGCAGCUACAAACCCAACCCCUGGACCUCAUGACAUCUCCCAAUCAAGGGCAGCAGAUCCAACUCAACCUGUGCUGAGGAUGUUUCCCAAGACCACACAAGGUCAGAAAAGAAGGGCAUUCAACCCGCAGUGGUACAGCAAGUAUUCUUGGUUAGAGUACUGUGUUAGCAAAGAUUCAGCUUACUGUGUGUUAAGUAUUGAAUCCAGGAGAGCAAAAGCUUUAAAUAUGGAUAACUUUAUCAAGGUUUUCGCCAGCUCACACAAAAAUCGGCGCAUUCAGUUGUUUUAACACCAAUAUAUAGAUGGGCAAACAAAUUGUAAUUCAUUGUUCCAUGAAUAAAUAGUAUUUAGCUGAGAACUUGGAUUUUGGAUGUUAACAGCUAUAGAAAUAGA